AGAGCGAACGCUGGCGGCAGGCUUAACACAUGCAAGUCGAGCGGGCGUAGCAAUACGUCAGCGGCAGACGGGUGAGUAACGCGUGGGAACGUACCUUUUGGUUCGGAACAACCCAGGGAAACUUGGGCUAAUACCGGAUAAGCCCUUACGGGGAAAGAUUUAUCGCCGAAAGAUCGGCCCGCGUCUGAUUAGCUAGUUGGUGAGGUAAUGGCUCACCAAGGCGACGAUCAGUAGCUGGUCUGAGAGGAUGAUCAGCCACAUUGGGACUGAGACACGGCCCAAACUCCUACGGGAGGCAGCAGUGGGGAAUAUGGACAAUGGGCGCAAGCCUGAUCCAGCCAUGCCGCGUGAGUGAUGAAGGCCCUAGGGUUGUAAAGCUCUUUUGUGCGGGAAGAUAAUGACGGUACCGCAAGAAUAACGCCCCGGCUAACUUCGCGCCAGCAGCCGC
rnacentral:rRNA from 1 species